rnacentral:tRNA from 1 species
GCAGGGGUGGCAGAGUGGUUAUGCAGUCGGUUGCAGACCGACGUACGGGGGUUCAAUUCCCCUCCCCUGCU